ACGAACGCUGGCGGCAUGCCUAACACAUGCAAGUCGAACGAGACCUUCGGGUCUAGUGGCGCACGGGUGCGUAACGCGUGGGAACCUGCCCUUAGGUUCGGAAUAACUCCCCGCAAGGGGUGCUAAUACCGGAUAAUGUCUUCGGACCAAAGAUUUAUCGCCUUUGGAUGGGCCCGCGUUGGAUUAGCUAGUUGGUAGGGUAAAAGCCUACCAAGGCGACGAUCCAUAGCUGGUCUGAGAGGAUGACCAGCCACACUGGGACUGAGACACGGCCCAGACUCCUACGGGAGGCAGCAGUGGGGAAUAUUGGACAAUGGGCGAAAGCCUGAUCCAGCAAUGCCGCGUGAGUGAUGAAGGCCUUAGGGUUGUAAAGCUCUUUUACCCGGGAUGAUAAUGACAGUACCGGGAGAAUAAGCUCCGGCUAACUCCGUG
rnacentral:rRNA from 1 species